CCACCUUUGACAUGUAUGGAACCCUCCAGAGAUGGAGGGGUGCCCGAAAGGGAGCCAUAACACAGGUGCUGCAUGGCUGUCGUCAGCUCGUGUCGUGAGAUGUUGGGUUAAGUCCCGCAACGAGCGCAACCCUUGUCAUUAGUUGCUACAUUCAGUUGGGCACUCUAAUGAGACUGCCGGUGACAAACCGGAGGAAGGUGGGGAUGACGUCAAGUCCUCAUGGCCCUUAUAGGUGGGGCUACACACGUCAUACAAUGGCCGGUACAAAGGGCUGCCAACCCGCGAGGGGGAGCCAAUCCCAUAAAACCGGUCGUAGUCCGGAUCGCAGUCUGCAACUCGACUGCGUGAAGUCGGAAUCGCUAGUAAUCGUGGAUCAGAAUGUCACGGUGAAUACGUUCCC
rnacentral:rRNA from 1 species